CGAACGGGUGAGUAAUACAUCGGAACGUGCCCAGUCUGGGGGAUAACUACUCGAAAGAGUAGCUAAUACCGCAUACGAUCUGAGGAUGAAAGCGGGGGACCUUCGGGCCUCGCGCGAUUGGAGCGGCCGAUGGCAGAUUAGGUAGUUGGUGGGAUAAAAGCUUACCAAGCCGACGAUCUGUAGCUGGUCUGAGAGGACGACCAGCCACACUGGGACUGAGACACGGCCCAGACUCCUACGGGAGGCAGCAGCA
rnacentral:rRNA from 1 species